UGAAUACGAGACGCUAAGGCGUCGAAGUAGUGUAUGUCAUACUUCCAAGAAAAGCUUGCACUGUCAUAGAUAAAAAACGCCUGUACCAUAACCGACACAGGUGGGUAGGUAGAGUAUACUAAGGGGCGCGAGAUAACUCUCUCUAAGGAACUCGGCAAAAUAACUCCGUAACUUCGGGAGAAGGAGUGCCUUAUUUAUAAGGCUGCAAUAACAAGAUCCAAGCAACUGUUUAUCAAAAACACAGGUCUCCGCUAAGUCGUAAGACGAUGUAUGGGGGCUGACGCCUGCCCAGUGCCAGAAGGUUAAAGAAGUUGGUUAGCUUUUGCGAAGCUGAUAACUGAAGCCCUGGUGAACGGCGGCCGUAACGAUAACGGUCCUAAGGUAGCGAAAUUCCUUGUCGGGUAAGUUCCGACCCGCACGAAAGGCGUAAUGAUUUGGAUACUGUCUCGGAGAGGGGCUCGGUGAAAUAGACUUGUCUGUGAAGAUGCGGACUACCUGCACCAGGACAGAAAGACCCUAUGAAGCUUUACUGUAACUUGAAAUUGAAAUUGGACUUUAUUCGCGCAGCAUAGGUGGGAGGCGUUGAUUAUAAUCUCGUGGGAUUAUUGGAGCCAUCAGUGAGAUACCACUCUUGUAAUGUUAGAUUUCUAACUUUGAAUCAUUAUCUGGUCAAAGAACAGUUUCAGGCGGGCAGUUUGACUGGGGCGGUCGCCUCCUAAACGGUAACGGAGGCGUACAAAGGUUUCCUCUGAACGGUUAGAAAUCGUAUCUAGAGUGUAAAGGCAUAAGGAAGCUUGACUGUGAGACCUACAAGUCGAGCAGGGACGAAAGUCGGUCUUAGUGAUCUGACGGCACUGAGUGGAAAGGCCGUCACUCAACGGAUAAAAGUUACUCUAAGGAUAACAGGCUGAUCUCCCCCAAGAGUUCACAUCGACGGGGAGGUUUGGCACCUCGAUGUCGGCUCAUCGCAUCCUGGGGCGGUAGUACGUCCCAAGGGUUGGGCUGUUCGCCCAUGAAAGCGGUACGCAAGCUGGGUUCAGAACGUCGUGAGACAGUUCGGUCCAUAUCCGGUGUAGGCGUUAGAAUAUUGAGAGGAGCCUUCUUUAGUACGAGAGGACCGAGAAGGACAUACCUCUGGUGUACCAGUUAUCGUGCCAACGGUAAACGCUGGGUAGCUAUGUAUGGAGUGGAUAACCGCUGAAAGCAUCUAAGUGGGAAGCCCACCUCAAGAUAAGUAUUCUCAUC
rnacentral:rRNA from 1 species